GCAACUUACGGUCCCCUUUCAUGCUGUGGUAGCUUUGUUCUUUCUCUCUUCACAGUAAAUCUUGCUGCUGCUCACUCUCUGGGUCUGCACUACCUUUAUGAGCUGUAACACUGUGAAGGUCUGCAGCUUCACUCCUGAAGCCAGCGAGACCAUGAACCCACCGGGAGGAACAAACAACUCCUGACGCGCCACCUUUAAGAGCCCUAACACUCACUGCAAAGGUCUGCAGCUUCGCUCCUGAAGUCAGAAAGACCACGAACCCACCGGGAGGAACAAACAACUCUGGACGCACCACCUUUAAGAGCUGUAACACUCACUGCGAAGGUCUGCGGCUUCACUCCUGAAGUCAAGCAAGACCACAAACCCACCGGAAGGAAAAAACUCCAGACACAUCUGAACAUCUGAAGGAACAAACUCCAGACAUACCAUCUGUAAGAACUGUAACACUUACCGCGAGGGUCCGCGGCUUCAUUCUUGAAGUCAGCCAGACCAAGAACCCACCGGGAGGAACCAAUUCCGGACACAGUAUGGUUGGUCCACAAGAGAGGAGCUCUUGGUAAUCUCUCAGAAAUAGAGCAAGACGCCAAAGAUAAAGGCCUGUUCAUCGCACUCAGGAAUUUCCUAAGGUUUCAUGUCCA
rnacentral:lncRNA from 1 species